rnacentral:rRNA from 1 species
GACGAACGCUGGCGGCGUGCCUAACACAUGCAAGUCGAGCGGAGGUACAAUGAGAGCAAUCGAGAUGUACUUUAGCGGCGGACGGGUGAGUAACGCGUGAGCAACCUGCCUAUCACAGGGGGAUAAGGCGGCGAAAGCCGCUCUAAUACCGCAUGAGACCCUCAAAGCGAUGCAAUGGGGGUGAAAGGAGCGAUCCGGUGAGAGAUGGGCUCGCGUCCGAUUAGGUAGUUGGUAGGGUAAGGGCCUACCAAGCCAAUGAUCGGUAGCCGGCCUGAGAGGGUGAACGGCCACAUUGGAACUGAGAGACGGUCCAAACUCCUACGGGAGGCAGCAGUGGGGAAUAGUUGGGCAAGUGGGCGGAAGCCUGACCCAGCAACGCCGCGUGAGGGAAGAAGGUUUUCGGAUUGUAAACCUCUGUUCUUGGGGAAGAGGAGGAGACGGUACCCAAGGGAGGAAGCCCCGGCUAACUACGUG